UCGAUUUCUCGCAAUACAGAGGUUCGGGAUGCUUUGAAAUCUCUCAGCUCCCCUCCCCCUCGCAGCCCCCCCCCCCCCCCUCCCCCCCUUCUCCUCCGGCCUCCUCCCUCGCUCUGGAUCUUGUCUCCGCAUUUGCAUCUCAACUUUUUAAAAUAUAACACGUAUACUUUACGUAUAGGCUACGUGGAUGCUCCUCGACCGCUCCUAUAUAUCCUUACGCCGGGCUCGGCCCCCCUCUCCUCCAACGUCGGCUCCGGCCGUGGGGGCAGAAGCGAAGAUCCUCGUCCGCUCCGGGGGAUGCAGAGCCGUCUCCGUUCCUCCUUUGCUGUGGCGCUGAGGAUGCCAUUGACUCCAGGUGGAGAACACAAAGCUGGAAUCGAUGGAAGAAGAAGAAGGAAAGAAAGGAAACCAAAGUCUCCAAACUCAGGAGAUCUUUUAAUUGCUUACGAAUGUCUCCAUCUCAAAAAUUAUCCAAUUGAUGUUGUCGUGCUUUUUCUUUUUUUUUUCUCUUGACAGCCUGAAAUCUAAUUACUAGGCAAAUUUAAUGAUAAUGAAAUGAAGGCACUUUAGCAGAAAGCAACGGGGCCUUGUUAAUAUUUUCUCUGUCUCUGUCUUGUUCGUAUUAUUUAAGUCUAUUUAUUUUCACCACCUUCUUUCUUGCGGUAUAAAAGAAUUGCCAAAAAUAAAACUUGGAUUGCUGAAAAUGUUUGUGGUGGC
rnacentral:lncRNA from 1 species